AGCGAACGCUGGCGGCAGGCCUAACACAUGCAAGUCGAACGAACUCUUCGGAGUUAGUGGCGGACGGGUGAGUAACACGUGGGAACGUGCCUUUAGGUUCGGAAUAACUCAGGGAAACUUGUGCUAAUACCGAAUGUGCCCUUCGGGGGAAAGGUUUAUCGCCUUGAGAGCAGCCCGCGUCUGAAUAGCUAGUUGGUGAGGUAAAGGCUCACCAAGGCGACGAUCAGUAGCUGGUCUGAGAGGAUGAUCAGCCACAUUGGGACUGAGACACGGCCCAAACUCCUACGGGAGGCAGCAGUGGGGAAUCUUGCGCAAUGGGCGAAAGCCUGACGCAGCCAUGCCGCGUGAAUGAUGAAGGUCUUAGGAUUGUAAAAUUCUUUCACCGGGGACGAUAAUGACGGUACCCGGAGAAGAAGCCCCGGCUAACUUCGUGCCAGCCGCCGCGGUA
rnacentral:rRNA from 1 species